GCCUACGGCCAUACCACCCUGAGAAAGGCCCGAUCCCGUCUGAUCUCGGAAGGUAAAUAGGGUCAGGCCAGGUUAGUACUUGGAUGGGAGACUGCCUGGGAAGACUGUGUGCUGUAGGCC
rnacentral:rRNA from 1 species